CUCAAAGAAUCCCAUAGAAAUAUAUGGGGUUAAUUUGUAAUGCAAACAUGGCAGUCAUCUACAUAUAUUCCGUCCUUUCCGCCAACAAAAGUUGACAUGUGAAUACAUCGUGCCAAUCAUGUGGUAUGUUGUGAAUGCAUCGUGCCAAUCAUGUGUUGUGAUCUCGCAGCUGGAGCGUGGUUGGUGUCGUGAUGCCUUGCGCACACGCAGUUCUGUCUGAAAUAGAUGCCCGAUAAGUGCCCAAAGUGCGUUGCAAUAUGGCCACCGAGUGGAGAGACUUGCUUAAAAGGACUUUGGUUCAAUACUGCAGUCAGUUGGGCCUGUUGUGUACUGAAGCUCAAGUACAUGGAAUAUAACAUCAGAUGUUAAAGACAGACAUGUUGUCUGGAACGACUGUUACAGUAAGUGACCUCCUGCUCCUAAUUAGACAAUGAUAUUUAACAUUUUCAUAGGCCAUAAUAAAUCACAAACUAUGUCUUUGAUGGAAGAAUAUGCUAUCAAUCACAAACCACUCAGACUUGAUGACUAAGAUCAGGACAUGACUGACAGUGAAUAGAGAAAGGAAUGAGAACAAGUAACUGUAAAAGAAAAAAUGUACCUCUUAAAAUGCAAUGGCACAGUUAGACAUACUGUACUCAGGGGGAUGUGGACAAGGGCAAUUCAGAGCUACGGUAUGUCUUUUCUAACUGCAUGUUUAUUCCCCUGAUUCUCCUUAAAUGUGUUUUCCAUUUUGACUUCCAUUUCAGACACAUUCAUUCUGUUUUCUGCUACUUGUUGUCACCUGUAAUCUACUUACCAUUCUGCAGUAACUGUCAGUCAUGCAGUUGUCAUGAAUGAAUAGUGUUACGACCCCCUGUGCCCCUUCAGGUCCUGGUCUGUCAGUGCACGGUCUGGCCUUGGCCAGCCCCCAGCGUUGUGCUGACAGCUCAUCCAUUUCAGUUAGGAGGAACCAGCCCAUCUGUGCUCACUGCAGCCAUGCUGGUAAUUGCCUCUGAAAUGAAUUACUUGGCAGAGAAAAGAGGAAAUUGAAAUUGAGCAGCACAGCCUAGCACAUCGAACAGACGUGAAUCUCAAGCAAAGCCAGUCACAGACAAACUCUUUGUGCCCAAUCAGAGACAAUGCCAGGGGAGAGAGGGGAAAAAAGAACAAAUAAAAAGAUAAUCAUU